AUGGAGACCAGAAGCGGGCGGCCGCUGAAGCGGGCGGCUGCGAGCUAGACUGAGCGGCACGCGGAACCGGAGCCCCGGAGAGCGUGCGGCGACCUGAGGCUGCCUCACCGGCUGACCAUUCCGGGUUCGGGGUAGGCCGACGUUCUUCAGGGAGCGUCCCCGCCCCGACGCGCGGGUCCCCGCCUCCCGCGGCCGCACCGCCCCCCGGCUCCGCCCGCUCAGCCCGGCUAACGGUCGGCGCGGCCUGCCACGAGGGAGCGUCCGCGGCCCGCGCAGAGCCGCGCACCAAGCCGAUGGCGUGGACGCAGUCGGGUCCCGCGGUCUGCGCGCGGGCAGGCGCGCGUGGGCGUGUCUCCCUGGCCCACGCGUGUCCCCGGCAUCAGUGUCUCGGCUCUGGUCCAGGACGAAGACUUCUGAAAGCGAGCCAAGAAGAAUCGCAGUUCUUAAUGGAGCCCCUGACUGCUGGGUAGAAGGUGGUGGUUCUGAAGACAGUGAGACUCAGCUACUGUUCCCCGGUUUCCUGAGAUCUGUUUCCAUCGAGAUGCAAAGGACACAGAGCUCACGGGUGCUCCUCACGGGUGUUCCAGCGAUGCUGGUGUCAUGUUUGGACUGCAGUCACUGCAAAGCUUCCCAAUAGAACAGUUCUUCCUGAGAAAUCUAUCAGUGCAGUUCAGACUCUGGAAGCAAAUGACCUCUCCGGGCAGAGCCUUCACCGUGUGGGGAACAUCAGAUUUGUGUAAGGAUUACCUAUCUCUUUUUAGGUAUGCACUGUUGAGAAGGUACUGCGAAGGCCACAGGUCACUCAGGAAAAUUUGGGGGAGUUUUCUAGGUUCAAUGGAGACUGGACAUCAAAGCUGCACUGGGACAUCUGGAUCCGUUGAUCCACUUUGGCCAUUCCACCUCAGCUCAGAAUUACCCACAUGGUGUCAGCACAGGAUGUCUCUUGGCUUCAGCCAUUCAGAUGAGCGAUGUCAGCAAGCUUCGCCACUGUCAAAGUACCUCUUUAAACCUUGAUGCUGAGUCGUGAAUACCUGCACUCCUACGGAAGAUGGGCGGCAGAGGCAGAAGUUCAUCUGGAAGCUUGAGAUCAGCCACCCAGACACUCAGAGCUGCAGACAAAAGAGAGGCCCUGCAGCAAAGGAGUGGAAGGUGAGAACCAACUCCAGAAAGUUACCCUCUGACCUUUACAAGUGUAUAUGUCCACAUACAUACAAUAAAGUCAAAUGCUCAAUU
rnacentral:lncRNA from 1 species